rnacentral:sRNA from 1 species
UGGAGGCAGUCAAAAACUUGCUGGCGCA